UACGUAGGGGGCGAGCGUUGUCCGGAUUUAUUGGGCGUAAAGAGCGUGUAGGCGGCCAAACAGGUCCGUUGUGAAAACUGGAGGCUCAACCUCCAGACGUCGACGGAAACCGUAUGGCUAGAGUCCGGAAGAGGAGAGUGGAAUUCCUGGUGUAGCGGUGAAAUGCGCAGAUAUCAGGAAGAACACCAAUGGCGAAGGCAGCUCUCUGGGACGGUACUGACGCUGAGACGCGAAAGCGUGGGGAGCGAACAGG
rnacentral:rRNA from 1 species